GCAUACCCUUGUUUUCAUGUGAGGUAUUUUGUGCCAUGCCACUGUACAGAACGUCAACUGAAUGAAGAUUAUGUCAAAAGAGCUGUGUAUAAGCAAUAUACUGAUCAU
rnacentral:SRP_RNA from 1 species